rnacentral:lncRNA from 1 species
AUACAUUUUAUACAUUUCAGUCUUUAUUAAUCGUAUGCGUGACUUAAAAUUAUCUAUUGUGCGAAUUUAAAAUACUGAAAAAUUAUAUUUCAUAGCAAGUGAAAAACUGUUGGAGUUCUGAAUAUUUUUCAUAGCAUGUGAAAAACUGUUGGAGUUCUGAAUGUUUUUUGUCAAAUGUGAUUUUUCUGAAAUUGUGAUUUUUUUAUAAAUACGAAUAGAACUAAAAAAAUACAAACAUUUUUUUUGAAACAAAAAAGACAUAGAAUCUGUAACAAAAAUAGAAAACAUAAAUAUUUAUAACUUCUGAACAAUUUUAAAAAUGUGUGAACUUUUUUUAAGCUUCAUAAAUUCUUGUUGUUAGUGGGCCGGCCCAAAUUCUGUCCGUGAGAGUAGCAGCCUAGGAGUUAUCCCGGUCAGGAUUGUGGUAUUGUCAUAAUUCCGGUGUGCCAAACGGGUGUAGGGUUCAAAAUAGACUGGAAUUACAAGUUUGGAGUGUCAAUUUCAGGGAUUCAAAGUUC